ACACGGUCCAAACUCCUACGGGAGGCAGCAGUAGGGAAUAUUGCGCAAUGGGGGAAACCCUGACGCAGCAACGCCGCGUGGAGGAUCACACUUUUCGGACCGUAAACUCCUUUUGUUAGGGAAGAAUAAUGACGGUACCUAACGAAUAAGCACCGGCUAACUCCGUGCCAGCAGCCGCGGUAAUACGGAGCGUGCAAGCGUUACUCGGAAUCACUGGGCGUAAAGGACGCGUAGGCGGAUUAUCAAGUCUCUUGUGAAAUCUAACGGCUUAACCGUUAAACUGCUUGGGAAACUGAUAAUCUAGAGUAAGGGAGAGGCAGAUGGAAUUCUUGGUGUAGGGGUAAAAUCCGUAGAUAUCAAGAAGAAUACCUAUUGCGAAGGCGAUCUCCAGGAACUUAACUGACGCUAAUGCGUGAAAGCGUGGGGAGCAAACAGGAUUAGAUACCCUGGUAGUCCACGCCCUAAACGAUGUAUACCGGUUGUUGCUGUGCAAGUCACGCCAGUAAUCCACCUAACGGAAUAAGUAUACCCCCUGGGGAGUACGGACGCAAGAAUAAAACUCAAAGGAAAAGACGGGGACCCGCACAAGCGGUGGAGCAUGUGGAUUAAUUCCAAGAAACGCGAAGAACCUUACCCGGACUUGAUAUCUAACAAAUCAUCCAGAGAUGGAAGAGUGUCUGCUUGCAGAAAUGUUAAGACAGGUGCUGCACGCCUGUCGUCAGCUCGUGUCCUGAGAUGUUGGGUUAAGUCCCGCAACGAGCGCAACCCACGUCAUUAGUUGCUAACGGUUCGGCCGAGCACUCUAAUGAGACUGCCUACGUAAGGAGGAGGAAGGUGUGGACGACGUCAACUCAUCAUGGCCCUAAUGUCCGGGGCGACACACGUGCUACAAUGGCAUAUACAAUAAGACGCAAUAUCGUAAGAUGGAGCAAAUCUAAAAAAUAUGUCCCAGUUCGGAUUGGAGUCAGCAACUCGACUCCAUGAACCCGGAAUCGCUAGUAAACGUAGAUCAGCCAUGCUACGGUGAAUACGUUCCCGGGUCAUGUACUCACCGCCCGUCACACCAUGGGAGUUGAUUUCACUCGAAGCGGGAAUGCGAAAUUCGCUACCCUCCACAGUG
rnacentral:rRNA from 1 species